rnacentral:rRNA from 1 species
AGUGAACGCUGGCGGUAGGCCUAACACAUGCAAGUCGAACGGCAGCACAGUAAGAGCUUGCUCUUACGGGUGGCGAGUGGCGGACGGGUGAGGAAUACAUCGGAAUCUACUUUUUCGUGGGGGAUAACGUAGGGAAACUUACGCUAAUACCGCAUACGACCUACGGGUGAAAGCAGGGGAUCUUCGGACCUUUCGCGAUUGAAUGAGCCGAUGUCGGAUUAGCUAGUUGGCGGGGUAAAGGCCCACCAAGGCGACGAUCCGUAGCUGGUCUGAGAGGAUGAUCGGCCAAACUGGAACUGAGACACGGUCCAGACUCCUACGGGAGGCAGCAGUGGGGAAUAUUGGACAAUGGGCGCAAGCCUGAUCCAGCCAUACCGCGUGGGUGAAGAAGGCCUUCGGGUUGUAAAGCCCUUUUGUUGGGAAAGAAAAGCAGCAGGUUAAUACCCCGCUGUUCUGACGGUACCCAAAGAAUAAGCACCGGCUAACUUCGUG